GCGUUGUCCGGAAUCAUUGGGCGUAAAGCGCGUGUAGGCGGCUCGAUAAGUCCGCUCUGAAAGUCCGGGGCUCAACCCCGGGAGGCGGGUGGAUACUGUCGAGCUAGAGUCCGGAAGGGGCGAGUGGAAUUCCUGGUGUAGCGGUGAAAUGCGCAGAUAUCAGGAGGAACACCAAUGGCGAAGGCAGCUCGCUGGGACGGUACUGACGCUGAGACGCGAAAGCGUG
rnacentral:rRNA from 1 species